AGGAACGCGAAGAACCUUACCAGGUCUUGACAUCUUUUGAUCACCUGAGAGAUCAGGUUUCCCCUUCGGGGGCAAAAUGACAGGUGGUGCAUGGUUGUCGUCAGCUCGUGUCGUGAGAUGUUGGGUUAAGUCCCGCAACGAGCGCAACCCUUAUGACUAGUUGCCAGCAUUUAGUUGGGCACUCUAGUAAGACUGCCGGUGACAAACCGGAGGAAGGUGGGGAUGACGUCAAAUCAUCAUGCCCCUUAUGACCUGGGCUACACACGUGCUACAAUGGAUGGUACAACGAGUUGCGAGACCGCGAGGUCAAGCUAAUCUCUUAAAGCCAUUCUCAGUUCGGACUGUAGGCUGCAACUCGCCUACACGAAGUCGGAAUCGCUAGUAAUCGCGGAUCAGCACGCCGCGGUGAAUACGUUCCCGGGUCUUGUA
rnacentral:rRNA from 1 species